AGCGAACGCUGGCGGCAGGCCUAACACAUGCAAGUCGAACGAAGUCUUCGGACUUAGUGGCGGACGGGUGAGUAACACGUGGGAACGUACCUUUUGGUUCGGAACAACUCAGGGAAACUUGAGCUAAUACCGGAUGAGCCCUUAGGGGGAAAGAUUUAUCGCCGAAAGAGCGGCCCGCGUUAGAUUAGCUAGUUGGUGAGGUAAAGGCUCACCAAGGCUACGAUCUAUAGCUGGUCUGAGAGGAUGAUCAGCCGCACUGGGACUGAGACACGGCCCAGACUCCGACGGGAGGCAGCAGUGGGGAAUCUUGCGCAAUGGGCGAAAGCCUGACGCAGCCAUGCCGCGUGAAUGAUGAAGGUCUUAGGAUUGUAAAAUUCUUUCACCGGGGACGAUAAUGACGGUACCCGGAGAAGAAGCCCCAGCUAACUUCGUGCCAGCAGCCGCCGUAACAC
rnacentral:rRNA from 1 species